UUUAUUCAUAAAUAAAAACAUAAAAUUACCAGAAAUAGUUUACAUAGCCAAAAAGGGGCGUCAAAAAUAAAAUAAAACAAGGUUGUCAAAAGCAAAGCAAACCAAACAACAAGAAACAACCAAGAGAAGACUAUGUACACAUUCUUCUAAAUGCCAGUCCCUCCAAAGCCUCGACUCGGGGUUCCAGCUCUGCCUGCAGACGCUGACCAACCACCCGAGAGGUGAAGGGAGCAUCCAGAUGCACAGGGUGUAUGUCUCCUGCCAUAGCAGCUCAGGCUCAGAACUCAGGACCCACAGCCCAGCCUGGCUUACCCCCGGGCAUCCCUCUCAUCCAAGGUGCAGGACCCAGACGAGCAGGGGUGGGGAGCAGAGGCUCAGGGAGUGCUUCUGGGGAGAGGUGGCUCCCAGUCCCUACAUUGCUAGUGCACCUGUGGGGGCGAGCGUGACCAGCAGGAAUGACCCGAACAACACAGUGGCCAGAGGAGAUCUCCAUGGCGGCGCCCUGUGACAGCCUGGUCAUUGCAAGGCCCCAAGGCAGAGUCCCAUCUGUGGUGAGGUGGUGCUGAGUCCUGCUCUCUCUGUGCGGACAGCUGGACCAUUUUCAGGCAAGCAUCGUUCAGGGAGCAGAGCAGGUUGGUCUGAUUGAGCAAGCAAGCGUGCCAGCAGGCAUGUGCAGAGGGCAGGACAGAGAGCUCACGCUGGCGCUGGGCCAGGCCGCCUGCUCUGAGGCCCGUGCCGGCUGAUCUCCCGGGUUCCUGCUCAGCUCCUGCUGUUCCGAGCCUGCUGGAGCAGCUGGAUUUGGCACAGUCCAGGAACACUCCAGGCCCUUGGUGCGCAGGGCGCCCUCCAGAUCCUGCGUCUUCAGCUCCAUGCCCUCCAGCUUGCCCCGUGUAUCCUUCAGCUGCGCCUUCAGACUGAGGAUCUCACUGGCCUUGGCGUUGACCUCUGUCUGGGACUCCUUCAGCUGCUGCUUCAGGAGAGAGAUUUCGCCUGACUUCUGGCACACCUGCCGAGGGUUAGGGUGGGGAGAAGAGAGUGCCAAGAGCCUGACUGGACAACCUGGGACGAGGUCACAGCAACGUGCAGCUUAGUUCCAGACCGGACACACAAGGACGGAUGCCUGGCGCCAGCACUAGCUUAUGUCUCUGAGAUGGCUGAGUGUCCCCGAGCCCUGGUGGAGAGGCAAUUAUGGGGGAGGCUCUGCUGUGCCAGCGUCCAUGAGGAGGAGGAAAGAUCUUCCUCCACAGUGAACAUUCUGGGAAGCUGGCAAACAGAGUGACUCUCCCUUCUCACCUGUCCAGCCCCACCCUCGCCCCUUCCAUAGAAAGGAUCCUUCUCCUCUACUCCUACUGUCGCUGUCACUCUAAUUUCCCGGUCAGGUACGGGAAGCCCCAGAGCAAAUGGUGGCUGUGCUGCUGAGGGGUGUCCCGCCACCUGGGUGGUGCUGGUCUAACCGGACUCAGCGAGCCCUCAUGCCCUUCCCAGGUUGGAGUCUCUGCCAGGGUGAGUGUCAGAGCUGCCCGCGUGUGCCCUCCCUGCCCCGCACCACCGCCCGGGGCCCCGCAGGGGAGGAAAGCUACUUCCACUGAGCAGGAUGUGGGGGUGAAGCAGGUUCUCCAGCAAGGCCAGGUCCAGAAGCCUCCUGUCCACGUGUGUCUGAGUGUGUGUGUGAGCCCUUUUCUUCCUCUUCUGUUUCCAUCUCAGCCUACCAAAGAGCCUCAUUUACACUUCCGUGAGGAGCCGCCAAUUCUGCACUGAGACCCGCCACAAAUGGGAUCAUUCUUACUGGUGGGUGGGUCCCUUCCCUUAAGAGCAACAAAUAAAUCCUGCACUCUCUUGAGGGCUCUGGGACCAGCAUGAACUCCUCGGGCGUGGCUUGCACUUCCUUUGAGCCUCCUGGAAGCAGAGGAAGUGAGUCAGCCCUCACAUAGCCCGGGGAGGCCCUGGUGCUCUUGGUUCCAGCUUCCCGGUCAACCAUGUGGCUGGUAAAUUCAAUUCUGGAAGUGAAUUCCACUAGGCACAAGGUGGGGAGAGUAGGAAGCUCAGACUGAGGCACCCCAACAUGCUCUCCCGGGAGCCCCUUCCCAGCUGCCGCUGUAGCCCAGUCUGCUGGGCAGUUUGGGUUCACACCCCCUUGGCCAGAACGCGGAGGAGAGGAGGGGACCAGCACACCACCUCACCACCCCAGCCC